UACGGAGGGGGCUAGCGUUGUUCGGAAUUACUGGGCGUAAAGCGCACGUAGGCGGCGAUUUAAGUCAGAGGUGAAAGCCCGGGGCUCAACCCCGGAACAGCCUUUGAGACUGGAUUGCUUGAACAUCGGAGAGGUGAGUGGAAUUCCGAGUGUAGAGGUGAAAUUCGUAGAUAUUGGGAAGAACACCAGUGGCGAAGGCGGCUAACUGGUCCGGAUCGUGACGCUGAGGUGGCGAAAGCGUGGGGAGCAAACAGGG
rnacentral:rRNA from 1 species